CAAUGAUGUUGAACAGUAAAAGAAUUUCAGUUACCCAGGAUUAGGCUACCUUGUACAUACCUAUAAAUAUAUACACUAAUAUAUAUGACACCAUCUUUUGCAGAAGAAUUAUUGAUUACAGCAGGACACAUAAAGAUGGCAGAAGGGCAGCGGGCAACAACUGAAAAAGGACAAUAUGUGUUUCAGACAGUGUAGAUGAUUUAUUUUCAGAUAAGGAAGUUUGAAACUACAACAUACAUUGAAAUUGUCUUGUCCAGUGUAGACGUGUGGCGUCAAAUGGUAGACGAAAGGCUGUCAUUAUGAAUAAGUGUUAGUGUAAUAGUGACUAAGUGAGCUGGUGUUUCAUUCAGUUAAUGUAUUUUAAGUUCGACAUACCUCUAUAUACAUGAUACAUCUCUUGUCUAGUACGUAACCGUCGGAUACAUCAAAUAGGAGGAAAAGGAGGACGGGAUUAGCCACAACUGAAGAAAAAAAUAAUAGUUAGCCACAACUGAAGAAGAAAAAUUACUGUAGACUUUUUCAAAGAAUUAUUGAUUACAGCAGGACACAUAAAGAUGGCAGAAGGGCAGCGGGCAACAACUGAAAAAGGACAAUAUGUGUUUCAGACAGUGUAGAUGAUUUAUUUUCAAAUAAGGAAGUUUUAAACUACAACAUACAUUGAAAUUGUCUUGUCCAGUGUAGACGUGUGGCGUCAAAUGGUAGACGAAAGGCUGUCAUUAUGACGGUUUCAGCUGGUGCCCACGGGAAUCCAUCAGGUAGAUGAUGUGCUUCAUCUGAGGGAAAACAAUGAUGUUAAUCAAUUAUAGGAAUCAUCUAAAUAUCACCCAGUUCAUUCUGAGUGGAGAGACAACUGUUGAAGGUAAGCGCUGGGAUUAUCACCUGCCUCAUUCU